rnacentral:rRNA from 1 species
GACGAACGCUGGCGGCGUGCUUAACACAUGCAAGUCGAACGGAAAGGCCCUGCUUUUGUGGGGUGCUCGAGUGGCGAACGGGUGAGUAACACGUGAGUAACCUGCCCUUGACUUUGGGAUAACUUCAGGAAACUGGGGCUAAUACCGGAUAGGAGCUCCUGCUGCAUGGUGGGGGUUGGAAAGUUUCGGCGGUUGGGGAUGGACUCGCGGCUUAUCAGCUUGUUGGUGGGGUAGUGGCUUACCAAGGCUUUGACGGGUAGCCGGCCUGAGAGGGUGACCGGCCCCAUUGGGACUGGGAUACGGCCCAGACUCCUUCGGGGGGCAGCAGUGGGGAAUAUUGCACAAUGGGCGGAAGCCUGAUGCAGCAACGCCGCGUGCGGGAUGACGGCCUUCGGGUUGUAAACCGCUUUCGCCUGUGACGAAGCGUGAGUGACGAUAAUGGGUAAAGAAGCACCGGCUAACUACGUG